rnacentral:lncRNA from 1 species
UGUCUCUUCUCCUUCUUCUUCAUACACUCUCAGCGUACUUCUAUUCUUUAAUACUAUUUUUUUGUAUUCUUAGAAAGUUUGUUCUUUUUGUUUUGUUGUACCAGCUCCCUGUGUCUUUGGGUUUUUCUCUGUGUGUGAUGCUUUUUGUUUGGUGAGAAGGAUAAGUAGUUUUGAUAUUUAAUAGGGGAAAUUUAAUGUUUGGUAUUGAUGCUUGUGCUGCGUAUGAAUAGAUUUAAAAGGUGGACUUAUUUUGGUGUGUUGGGAAUUUGGAUCCUAAAGUUUCUGGGAAUUUCUUGAAUUUUGGAGAAUUGGAGUAUAGAUUGGUUGAUUGUGGAAUAAUUUAAGAGUGACGGUUGAUAUUUUUGGAAUUCUGAACUGAAGUGUUAUCAAUUAUCCGAAUCAAAUUAUUCAAGUUCGGGUUCUAGCAGCGAUAUUUUAAGACUUCGUAGAAAGAUAUUAUAGAUUUGACGUCCAGGUAGGCUAGGCUUACCCUACUUUUAGAUUGAGCUUAUAUACCGAAAUUGUGAACUAUUAUGCUAGCUUUUGAUAAAUACUUGUAGAUGCAUAUUAUUUGAUUUAUAUAAACUGUCUUAUUUAUCCGGAUUAGGACCCCGUUCUAGUAAAUAUUAGAAUACUAUCUUUUAACAUAAUAUAACAUCUAUUACGUUAGGACGUGGAACAAAAUUACAAAAUCUUGAAUUUAUCUCUGUUUAAUUAAUAUUGGCGGAUGAAUAUUUAGAAGUUCACAUUAUUAGGAUAUGAUAUAGAUUUUAAUACUACCGAUGAGUUCCGGUUCGAGUCUGGCAUUUGAUUAUUAUUGCUACUAUGAGUUCCAGUUUGAGUCCGACAUUUGAUUAUUAUUGCUACGAUGAGUUCUGGUUCGUGUUCGGCAUUUGAUUAUUAUUGCUACUAUCAGUUCCGGUUCAAGUCUAGCAUUUGAUUAUUUUUGCUACUAUGGGUUUCGGUUCAAGUCUGGCAUAAGAUUAUGAGUUCUAUAUAUGCGGCCUAUCGUUAUUACCCACUAUGUCCGAUUUGAAUCCGGCACGUGUCCUCUCGUUACUAACCAUUGGUAUCGGUUCGAGUCCGAUGCACAUCUGGAUUUAAUGGGAUAUAGAUUAUUUAUGUUUAUUUUCAUUACUUGUGUGUCCUACCGGCUUAUGGGGGUCGAUUGGGUUAAUUAUCUUCUUCAGUGUGCCUAGCGGGCUUAUGGUGGCCCAGUUAGGUUAUGUUUGAUUUGUUUGUUAUUACUACAUUAUUUAUAUUUUUGUAUCGCUUAAGUUUAUUCCUUUAUAGUCGCUGUGUAGCUUGGUAGUUGUUUACCUUUCCAUCCCUAUUUACUAUGACUCAGAUUACAUCCUUGCAUUGUAGUUAUACCUUUUCUGUAUUGAGCUCAGUCGGCCGAUGAUGCCUAUUGAGUACCCAUGGCUUCGGUACUCAUAUUGCACUUCUGCAUCUUUUUCCUGUUGUACAUCCAGGUACUAGCAGUCGACGUUGACGUGACUCCUACCUUUCAGUACCGAUUCAGAGAAGGGUGAGCUUCUUGUCGUUCGAGGCUGAUCCUCCUCUAUCUACUCCAGUUAGACUUUUGCACUCGAGACUGCUUGUGUAUAUUGUGUACAUUUUAAAUUUUUGUCUAGUACUCUGGGUACCUAUUAGUAGUGGCUCUAGUACUGACCUUAUCAAGUCUUAGGAGGGUUUCAUUUGUAUAGUGGGUCUUUUUUCCUCCUCUCGUUUUGAUAUAAUAUAUAUGCCCCUUCUUAGUUUUCACUUGUUAUUGUUGUUGUUAGCAUCAUACGUGAUCUUUUAUCUGACUUCUGUCUGUUAGCACGUUAUCUAUUAUUUCGGGCUAUGGCUUGGCUUGCCUACUGGGGGUUAAAGUAGGCGCUCUAAUAGCUUGAGAAAUCGAGUCGUGACAGCUUAGUAUCAAAGGCUAGGUCUUAAUGGUAUUGUUAGUACUAAAGCCAAUAUUUAGUAGAGAGUUGCAGAUCGGUACAGCGACGUCUGUAUCCUAUCUUCGAGAGGCUACAAAGCAUUUUUAGGGAACAAUCUCAUUUUCUUGAUCCAUUUUCGUGCGUUGAGUCUGAGUUUGGUGAGUUUAGGGAAGUCUUUUUUGGAGAUAGUCGAACAUGCUUAUUCUAUAGAGGAGAUGGAUUAUGAAGCCCAAGGGGGCAGCGAUAAAAGACCACGUUACCAAGGCAGCUAUAAUGAUUCACAGUUCACUGGAGGAUUUCAUAGUAUAUACCCCAGCAGCAGCCUUCUCAGCAUCAGCGUCAGCCUAGUAGGCCAGUUCAGGCAUCGCUUCAGAUAUCAUACAGGGGUCAGCAUGGCUAUAGUAUAUAGUUACAGCGGUCAAAGCAAUAGCCAGCCACAGAGAGGCGCUCAGCUAGGAUUUUUGAAUAGAUCACUUGUACAUAUAAAAAAAAUUUUAAAACACAAAUACGGACUUUGAGACUUAAGUUUAUAGGUUCGGUCGAACUCACGGCUAAGCUUCAAACUACUUUAUUUAUAAGAAACUGCUGGACCUUUAGCAUUGUAAGUUUUUAUGUAAGGUGUUUCAUAAAAUUGGUACAAAGACCUCAAGUUAUCUGAAUUUGAAAAAAAAUAUUAAUGGGAUAUGCAUAGAAAAAAUUAGUAAUGAAACAUGCAUUGGGCUCUUGUAUACUGGCAAUGAAGCCAACUAUUAGUUGCCUUUAUUUAUUUCGUGGCAAAUCACUUUGCACCAAUUAUCGAUCUCAAUUCACUAAGUUCAAGACAUCCCGAUAAUUAGUUUUAAUUGGUUGGUUUAGCUACAUGGCGAUGAGCAUGAUAGAAAUCUAACUAGCUGGUUUCAAACAAAGAGUUAAGGUAGAAAACAAUAGUCAUAUAAUAUUUUCAUUACAACCACUUGUGGCAAAUUUUGAGUUUUGCAUCAAUUGAUCUUUGACUUUACUUGGCAAAUGCUAGUUAUUUAUUGCUUCAAGAGUUGCUCUUGCUCAACUCGUAGUGUAUUUUUGUACAAUUGAGCUCGUCUGCAUUUGUUGUAUGUGUAUUUGACUUUAGUUGAUAUUGUUGUUAUGUUACUCUUGCUGUAGACGUUGGAGGGUACCCUUCUGUGUCUAGAGAAUAUUGAAGCUUAUCAAACUAUGGUAAAUGGCUGUGAUUGCUAUCCAUGGCCUGGUCAUGUGGCCCGAGGUUACCAUUAAAUUCUUGAUUCAUGCUGCUCUUGGUGUGCUGUUAUUCUUUCUACUUGAUGAAUGUAAAGCACUGCUUACUCUGAAUGUGUUAAGAAAUGCUUAUUCUAGAUCUAUCAAGAAACAUCCGUGAUGUUCCUGCUAUUUUUGAAGUUGAAGAUUUGAUCUCUUAUGUCUGUUGUAUAGCCCAAGCAAAGAAUCUUAGAUAUGUUACUGUUCUUGUUUGUUUGAAGUAGCUGCUUCUGUUGUAUCUGGUCCCAUCAAAUACUAGAAGUCUUUAGCACUGAUUGGUUUUACAUGCUGCUACGCCUAAUUAGGCCAUGUCAUUCUGUAGUUGUCAUGGAAUCCUCAGAAGUGUGUUGUUGAUUUUCAUAGUCAUCCUAACCAUCAGUCAGUUACAUGCCUUUCGCUAAUUUUCAAGUGAAACUAUAGAGCAGAGAUGAGAGUCUCUCCUAGGUGAGUGAUCCGACCAUGCAUCAUGGUUGAUUCUAGCUCUGUCGAAUGGUUGUUCUCCUUUUUCAUACUGAGGCAAUGUAGUUGUCUAACUGUGUGUUCUUUUUGUAAAUUUUUGUCCUCUUUUUCUUGAUAUAGUAAGUAUUUGUUUUCUUAAAUGCAUUUUUGUUAUAUAUGCGGUUGAUUUCCAUUUUAAGUUGCACUUUGUUCAUAUACAUGUGAGUGUUAAAUCUACAUGAUGAUAUAUCCCCAAAUUUAAAGGGAUGAAGAUGUGGCCUAUAUGAACAUAAAUAGGUUCCUUUUUAUUCUCGAUACAAUCCUGAAUGUUAAGGUGUUUCUUCAUGAGACACUCUUAUUGAUGGCAAAGACUUUUUUCCAUCAUAAUGUGUUAAUUUUUCUGGUGUCCUAAUAUGUACUGAGUCGUGGUAGUGUAUUUUUCGUUAUAUAGUAUUAGUACGGUGGCAUGAUGGUGAUUAUUUUUGUCAAUCUUGUUGAAUUUUCAUUUAAUUUGAUGAUGUCAAAUUCGAGAUCGUUGUUAAUUUUGCUAGUCUUGGGGAUAAUUUGGUUUCAAAUUAGCUGCAUUUAUUAGAACUGGCAUGCUGGGAACUUUUAUCUAUAAAUGUUGUGUAAUGGUAUAGAUUGUCAGUGUCAUGAUAUGCAUUGCCGAGUAUCAGAAGUAAUUUUUUUUCCUUGUUACUCACUGCUAUAGAAAGGUAUUCGUAUCCUAUGUUUUUUCGACUUCUUUAAAAUCCCGAAGUUCCUUAAACGUGUGGUAUAUAUAGCUUGUGUCUGAUAUAUCCAAGAGCUCGGUUUUGCUGGAGCGCUUGAUGUAUUGCAUUUGAAAGGUCGAUUGUUCAAAUCCACUUGGAUUCCUAAUAUAACAGUAUAUUGUAUUUCAUAUCCUCUCUUAAUUGUGUUUUGUGUCGAAUUUACGUUUCAAAAGUGGAACUGUCUGAAACAAGUAAAGAUAUACAAUUUUUUUAUGUAUCAACAAUUGUAGAUGGCAACUAAAAUACCAUUGGAUGAUUGUCCAGAGACAUGUAUAGGUGGAUCAAACCUGUCUACAUUAUAUUAAUUUAUCAUUUAGAUAGUUUAAUUGUCAAGGGAGUCUAAUUGCCCAAAAAGAAGAUUUUUGUUUUUUUACUUUUGACCCUUAUAUAAAGACCUUGAUGCCAAUAGCUUAACCUGGUGGGACUGGUAUACAUUUGCUUCUCUGCCAAUGAAAAAGGAAGUGGCAAGUAGUUUUGCAACAAGAAGUGUAAUUAGUACCCUGCUUCUCUGCUCUUUUCCUCCUUAAUGUCUAGUUAUUACAUAGGGUAUGUUACAACUAAGGGUUGUUAGUCACUUCUCCCGUGAUUUUCCUCAGUAUAGGAUGGUUGAGCCUUUAGUUUUGACUGCACAGCCGAUCAGGUCAGUGCUGCUGUUAGGUAGGGGUGAUGCGCAGAGUCGUGGGGAUGGUCCUUAGGGUUUGAGAGGUGGUCGAUAGGAACCCAGUCCAGUGGUAGAUAGGGUCAUUUGUAUGCUUAUUUUGCAUUGCGGUUAGGUUCAUGUUCAGAGUUUUUAUCUGUGUCAUUCAUAUAGCUAUCCUUUUGGGUGAUUCUUUAGUAGUGGAUCGGGUACAUAGAUCUGGUUUGGUGAUUGUUCGGGAGUUUGGUACUCAGGUUGAUCCAUUGUCCUAGACAUAGUAGGUUUUGAUGUUACUCAAGGCGUGGAUUAGUUAUAUUUUUAUCAUGUGAUCUUUGAUUGUUGUUAGAACUGUUACUUUAACCGUGCCUGGCAUACCUCAAUUGUGUGGUAGGGUUCUGUUAGUCGCGUGCCGAUGGGGAUUAUUUUUACAUUCAGGCUAUGAGAUUGAUAUCGAGGGGUUGUCAGUCAUUUGAUGCUUAUGUUUGGGAUGUCAGUGUUGAGAGUAUCACGUGACUCCGACCCUGUGGUUCGUGAGUUUCUUGAUAUGUUUUCAACCGACUUACCUGGUCUUCCUCCUGAGCAAGAUAUGCAGGCCAGUAUCCCUAUCUGUUUGAGCAUUCAAGUAUUUCCUUAACUUUUACUUUUGCGGACGAAAGUGCUUUAAGUAGUGGAUGUUGUGAUGAGCCUUACGGCUAUUUCCCUAUAUUUUCAUAUAAUUUUAGUACUAUCUAAAUGUAUCAUAGAUUAUUUAAUACUAUUUUUCUGUAUUGUUAGAAAGUUUGUUCUUUUUGUUUUGUUUUGCCAACUACCUGUGUCUUUGGGUUUUUCUCUGUGCGUGAUGCUUUUUGUUUGGUGAGAAGGAUAAGUAGUUUUGAUAUUUAAUAGGUGAAAUUUAAUGUUUGGUAUUGAUGCUUGUGCUGCGUAUGAAUAGAUUUAAAAGGUGGACUUAUUUUGGUGUGUUGGGAAUUUGGAUCCUAAAGUUUCUGGGAAUUUCUUGAAUUUUGGAGAAUUGGAG